UACAUGGUGGCCAUUCCUGCAGUUCUUGAAGCUGGAGCAACAGCCAAGUUGUGUGCAGAUCUCAUGCAGCCCAACGAGGCUCUGACAAUGACCACCAGCUUGGUGUACAAAAAAAGGACAACCCUCUUCAAAUGGGCAUCCAGGAAAGACCUUCAUACCUGUGCUCAAUUUCAGGUUCCUUUAGUGCAGAAUGACGAGGUGUGGAACUUUGAGGUGGAAGUACAAGGCAGCAUGUUUUCUUCAAAAGAAGUCAGAAAGGUUAUGAUCAGAGUCUAUCAACCGAUGACAUUUGUCCAAACA